rnacentral:tRNA from 1 species
GGAGGUGUGGUGCAGCGUCAGCAUGCGGCGCCCUGACAAGGCGUUAGGCAGACACCGGGUUCAACUCCCGGUCACCUCCG